UACGGAGGCCUUUAGGGUUCUCCCUUCUAGGGUUUCUCUCACUCUCGCGCUCUCACUCUCAUGGCGGUCCAACGCGUUGGACUCUCCCUUUUCGUCCAUCUCUCCAGACUCCAAACACCAAGCUCUGCUCGCUUCUACCUCUUCAAAUCCAAUAAAACCCUAAAAAUCUCCUCUCUCGCCGCCCAAAACCUCCCCAUUAAAACCCUCAACACCUACGCCGCUGCCCCAAACACCUACCCCCCUCAGCAGCGGCCCCAGCCGUCCGAUCCUCGCUUCGUCCAACGCGGAAAUCAGAACCAAUGGAACCGUCAAGACCAGCCCCGGAACCAAUGGGCCCCUCAAGGGCCGGCCCCCGUCGACAAUCAGGUGGCGACUCCUGUCCCUCCGUCCAACGUCGAUCUGAUGGGCCUCUGUCGCGAUGGGAAGAUCAAGGAAGCUGUUGAUUUCUUGUGCCAGGGUGCCCGCACUGAUCCCCAUGUCUUCUUCUCGCUUGUGAGCGCCUGCGCAGAUUUGAAGCUUCUCGAAGAAGGUAAGAAGGUUCAUGAUUGCUUUGCGCGGUCGCCAUUCAGGGCUGAUCUUCAAAUCAACAAUAAAUUGAUUGACAUGUAUGGGAAGUGCGGGAGCAUGAAGGAUGCCCGCCAUGUGUUCGAUAGAAUGCCUGAACGGAGCAUGGAUUCUUGGCACUUGAUGAUAAAUGGGUUUGCAUCUAAUGGGCAGGGAGAUGAUGGGUUGCAGGUAUUUGAACAGAUGCGUAAGUUGGGGGUACGCCCUGAUGGGCAGACCUUCGUUUCGGUUUUGUCCACCUGUGCCAGUGCUGAAGCUGUCGAAGAAGGGUUUAUUCAUUUUGAGUCGAUGACAAAAGAGUAUGGGAUUACUCCAGGGAUUGAACAUUAUUUGGGGAUGGUAGAUGUUCUUGGAAAAUCUGGCUAUGUUAGUGAGGCAGAGGAGUUUAUUGAGAGAAUGCCAGUUGAGCCCACAUCAGUAAUUUGGGAGGCGUUGAUGAAUUUCGCUCGGAUUCAUGGAGACAUUGAGCUUGAAGACCGGGCAGAGGAAAUGUUGGUUUUGCUUGACCCAUCCAAGGCUGUUUCCAAGAUCCCAACGCCCCUGCCUAAGAGGCGAACAGCAAUCAACAUGCUUGAAGGGAAGAAUAAGGUGAACGAAUAUAGGGCAGCUCCAAGUGAGAAGAGGGGCUUGAGUGGACAGAUGAAGGAGGCAGGUUAUGUGCCAGACACAAGAUAUGUGCUCCAUGACAUUGAUCAAGAGGCAAAAGAACAGGCUUUGCUAUACCACAGUGAGCGGUUGGCAAUUGCAUAUGGGCUGAUCAGUACUCCAGCAAGGACCCCUCUUAGGAUUAUCAAGAACCUCCGUGUUUGUGGAGAUUGCCAUAAUGCGAUCAAGAUCAUGUCUAAGAUUGUUGGGCGGGAGCUUAUUGUUAGGGAUAAUAAGCGGUUUCAUCAUUUCAAGGAUGGGAAGUGUUCUUGUGGGGAUUACUGGUGAAGUCAUCACAAAUUGAAGCUACAUCCUCUGAUAUGGCUAUGUGGGUACGUGACUGAGCUUCUUUCCUUUGAAAGUUCAAUGUAUAACUGGCAAAGAAAUGAUUGUUGCUGUAGGAGGGGAAACCAGUGUGUCCAAUGUUUGAAGAUAAACUCUGUGGAUGUUAUUAUCUACUUUAGGCUGUGCUGUCGACUUUUGUGCUGGUUGUCUGCAUCUCAUGGACUUGAACGAUGGUCAUGGAGCUAUGGGAAGGACCCAACUCAAGAGAAAGGUUUGUGUAAUGGAGGUUUGAGCCGCCACGGACACUACACCCCCUCAGCUGCAUGUUCCAAUAGCUGUCCUGUAAAUUCCCCUUCCAUGAAUCCUUGUUGAAAAUUGCAGACUGAUUACUACCAUAUUAUAUUUAAAUGGGUAUUUAACUUGUGGCAUUGGACCAUAAUCUUCUCUA